AUGGAGGCUAUCUCCUCCUCCGACUCAACCCACAGCGUUCGACCUCUCCAUCACCGUCUCAAUCAAAAUCACGACGCCCAAAUUCCUCACAUCUUCGUUCUCAUCUUCAUCCGCGGCUACCUCUCAAUGUUCGUCUUCCUUCAAGCUUCGCCGCGAUUUACCUCACUCUGUCUCAAUCUCUCUCUCAAUCUCCACCUCAACAAAUCCCGAAAUAAGCUAGUGACAAAGAAUGAGGAAGAUACACUCAAAGGUGAUGAUGAAAAUGCCUAG